GAAAAAUCCCAAGGGAAGACUAGUUCUUAAACAUUCUACUGUAUCGUGGACCUAUUAGUUUCUGGUCUGCUGACUCUGCUCUUCCUUUGUAUCUAACUUCUUUGGCAAUACUUUUGGUGGCUUAAUAUGAUUUCAGUUUUUGUUCAAUGUCAAUUCAAGGCCACUUGAUAAUUUCCAUUUCUUUCUCUCGCGAUAUUUUAGAAACUUUAAUUUCCUUGUGCUAUUGCUUUCUAAUUUCUGAGGCAAUCUGUGUUGUUUUAUUUAGAUGCAAGUAUUGUGAUGUGCCAUCAUAUAUUCAAGUAUUUUAUUUAUUUCAUAUCUAAAUUUUCUAUUUUUUAUUUGCUUCUAUGUUUUCAGGUAAUUUAAAAUACCUGUCUUUUUAAAAUAUAGUAUUAAAAUACUGUCUUCUGUCUUCAUGUGUUGUAGAGAAUAAAGAACAUUAGCUAGGACAGUCUUCUUAUUCUUCACAAUAUUAAUAUACUGUUGUUUUGAUUCAGGGGCAUUGCAGGCAGUUUGAAAAUUUAAUUUUUUUCAUUUUCAUGGAGAGACUGAACUCAAAGCUGUACCUGCAGAACUGCCACAUAAUGAAAGAGAAUGAGAAGCUAAGGAAGAAAGCACAGAUUCUCAACCAGGAGAAUCAAGCACUGCUAUCUGAGCUGAAACAGAAGCACUCCAAGGCUAAUUCAAAAGCCAAUGCCUCCAACAACACUAUUCUUGAUCUCAAUCUUGGCUCCAGUUCCACCCAUAAUCCUGCAAAUUCCGGCACUAACUGAUUCAGCUGGAUAGAUUAUCAUGACCCCACUAGGACUGCCUUUGCCUUUUUUGUGUAAAAUCGUAGUCCCAACAGUAGUAGUUAUUCCAAUUUCAGUCAUAUAGGACAAUGGAAGUAUCUUCCUACCAGGGUUACUUUUACUUCUAUUUCCAUGUUUAUCUCAUCUUUCUUUUUGGAGGGGUUAAGAUAUGGAUUUCUGAACUAUAUAUCAAAGCUAUCAGCUAAAAAGCAAUAUAAU
rnacentral:misc_RNA from 1 species